rnacentral:snoRNA from 1 species
AAGACUGUACUUUUAGGAAUUAUUUCUAUAGUGGGUGAUUAGAGAAGGGUCUGUGUGAAAAGCUGAGCGUGAUAGUAGCAGACAGUGCUGGUCUGUGCCAGUUAUUUUCUGUUGUGGAGGAUUGUCCUGUUUUUCAUGGGAAGAGCAGAGGAAGGAACCACACUCUGA